GCCAGCAGCCAUAUCACCUUGCAACUCACAACUAAAAAACCCACUUAAGCUCAGCAGGUGUGAGUCUGGACAGUACCUGGAUGGGAGACCUUCUGGGGAAAACUAAAGUUGCUGCUGGAA
rnacentral:rRNA from 1 species